rnacentral:piRNA from 1 species
UGGGUUUUAUUGAACUGAUCUGAAAGGCU